GAAGGGCGAUAUAUUCUUAUCAAACAAAAGAAUUCUAUGUUUUCUUGAUCUCAAACACAGUGGCUUUCUCCACGUCCAUUCUUCUUCUUAUAUCUCUAACACAUAAAUUUCCUUUCCACUUUGAAGUAAUUCUUGCCACAACCUCAAUGGUUGUGACUUAUGCUUCUUCUGUAUUCGCCGUUACCCCGGAUGAAUUGGUCAAGUUUCGAUACAUCUUGUUUGCUGCCGCUGCACCUUUUAUAAUAAGAUGCCUACUGCAGGUGUGGGCCAGGUUGACAAUGGAGGUAUGAAGAUAGACUUAAUUACGUCUUUUUAUUUUUAUUUUUUAUCCACAAGCUUCUAUUCAGUCCUAAUUUAUUCUUUUUUUUUUCCCCCUGCUUUUGUGCAGGAGCAACCAUAUGAUAAACACAUCGUCUUUCCGGAUAAUCGCAGCGGCGAGAAUGAAUUAAACAGACUUUAGAGGUAGCUAUGGGGAGUUGUAAUACUGGAAACAAUAUUCUGAUUCCAAUCCCUCCAUGGGUGAAGUUUAUUCUUGAUGCCCAUAUAGUCUUUUUAUUCAUGUAAAAGUCAACAUCAAUCAUGGCCUUCCCAAUUCAAUCUUUUUUUUAGAGUGUUGGAGAACUGUCUAUUUUAAGCCUAAAGGCAUCCUGGAGAUUUGGAAUACAUAUUGAGUUAGUAGGUUUUUGAAUGUUAAUGCAGUAGAGUGAAUGAUUGGGUCCAAGAUACACAAUGUAAGUACUAAUGGACGAGAAAUCAUCUUUAUUGUUUGCCCAAUCGGCUUAUGAGAAAGGAUGUAGUGCCACUGGAGAGUCCCGCUAAAGUAAAAUGCCAUAAUCAAAAGUAGCACAUAGAUAACAAAAGAAGCGCUUGGUAAAAGCCUAAAGUUUUAUAAUGGGUUGAUAUAUGUACUAAGAGUGUUUGUUUAUUGUAAAUGCUAUGUCAGGCUACUUAAGAUACAAGUACUACAAACUUCCAAUGAUGAUACAAUAUUCAGUUAGAUCAAAAGAGCAACUGACAUGAAUAGAGAGUGACAUACUUACAUGAAGUGGUGUGGAGACAGGUUUUGUUGGGAAUCCCUAGAUCCCUCCAUUCCUAGUCUUGGACCACUUAGGGUGCAUGCUACUAGUAUUAAGGCUCUCUAGAUCUAAUGCAAUAGAAAAAUAUGAUAAUAAAAACCAUUAAAAACAUAGAUAUAGAGAGUUUAGAUAUCAUACAUCUGAUUUGGAUGUUCUUAAAUCAAAUAUAAUCUAAUGAAGAAACUUUAUAGCCGUCGUAAAUCUCAAAGACCAACAAUCUUCCACAUGAUAACUUUUUUCACGGAUCUUGGCACAAGAGAAGAGUGGUCUUUUCUUUAGACAAGGAGACUAGGGUUUUCUCUCUAGAUCUCUAAAAAAAUAGUGAAAGAUUGAAGCCUUAAACCCCUAAGAGAGUUUAUAUAGACUUCUAUGUGGGCUUAAGUGACUUGAGCCUAACUUGGGCUUGGGUCGCUUAAUCUAACCCACUUGGAUCAUAAUUAAUUAAUUAUUCAUUUUGAGCUCCAAUUAAUUAAUUAACCUAAUCCAAAAAGACCAUUCAUAUGAUCCAAUAUAACUUUGCAUUUUUAUGAAAAUUCCAUUAUGCACACUCAUAAAUUAGAAAUCCAAAAAUACCCUUAAAAUCAUGCCACCAUGAAUCUAGAGCUUGAAUGAGGACUACUAAGACCCAUAGAAAAAUAUUGAUUCCCUUAGAAUCUAAUUCCAAAUUUAACUUAACAUCCUACUAUAAAGAGUCAACUGCACUCCAAUAUUAUAUGUAUUUUAGAAUGAGAAAGAACUCAUGUCCAUGACCUUCUAUCCAUUGCAUCCGAACUCCCCAUGAACUAGUAUUCAUAAUCUAACAAGGUAUAUGCUAUUAACCUCUCAAGAUUACUUCUCUCAUCCUUGAGUUAUUGACCUUUUUAUUAUGUGAUCAAUUAAUAUACUCUAGUUCAAAAAAGUAUAUGUUAAAUUCUAGUUGAGGAAUUAUUGUGGCCAUAAAUUUUAUGAUUACACGUCCUUAGGAUUACCCAAAAGGACACACUAUCCCAAUCCCAUAAGAUAUCAUGAUGCUUCUAGUCAUUAGGCGUCAUCUGUAGAUGACCUAAUCCAUAGGGAAUAUAUGACCAUUUAAUGGCAUAUAUUUGAUAUGAUUUGUGCACCAAAGGACACUCAAAUCACCAAACUUGACCUAAAUUGAUGCUAAUACCCUAGCCAUGAGUUUAACUUGUAUUUUAGAGAUUUAUCUUGGGUUCAAGGGAAGAAAGGGUGCAGGUUGAAUCACUUUAGAUUUUGAAAUAUAAAAAAAAAAAAAGGUUAAUUAAGGAAAGAAGCGAGUCAAAACUCAUGGAUUAUGAGAAAAGACAAGACGAGGAUAUCAUGAGUUUAGAAGAUGAGAAAUGACCAUUAUGGAGUAAGAAAGAAGGCAAGAGAAGAUGGAUUAUGAGGCAUGGAACAAAUUCAUCAAGUUGCAUGGAAGUUUAGAACUUAAAAUCUGGUGGCAACAUGUACUUUGAAUUUGAGGCAAAAAUUUGGAGUGCUUUCUGAAGUUCAUUUUGGGCAUACUAUAUAUUUUUUUGAAGGUCGGGAAUUCAGGAGUCCAACGCUUCAAAUGGUGUGCAAAUCAGAGUUGAAAUGAAGAAGUUAUGACCAUUUGAAGACAACUACGCAAAGUUGAAAGACCAUUUCGAAAUGAUUUCGAAAUUCAACUUAUGAAUUCGAAAUGACCCCAAUUUUGAAUUCACCCACUGCAACUUUGAUGUUUCGCCUACCUUGGGAAUUGAAUAUAUGGCACUCCAUUUGCCUAUUGUGGGUCCCACACAAACUAGAAAUCAUCAUUUUGUUAUUUUUUUUAGUAAUUUUUAGGUAAUUAUAUUGGAAUAAGUGGCCAAUGAGAGUGUGCCACAUGUUAGGUAAUUGAUGAUAUUAUAUAAAAUCUCUUAGUUCUAGGGUUGAAAUAUCUUAUAUCAUUUUCUUGGGAGUUUGACAUUAGAGAUGGAAGAAGAUGAGAAUUUUAGUUUGUUUUCUUUCCUUUUUUAUUAAAUAUAUCAUUUUUAGUUUCUUUGAUUCAAACUAUGGAUUUUUACCCUAUCAUGUAUUGUGAAUGCGACAUCACUCCCAUGAGAGGCUAAAGAACCAACUUGGGGCUUGAAGCAUGAAAACCUAAGGUUGGAAACUUAUAGGAAUAAUGGGUAAAUUUUUGUAAUAAUGAGAUUGAUUAUUGGUUGGAUUACAAGUUAUCAAAUUUUGUCCUAUCCUUGUGAGUUAGUUUAGGGAAUGAUAUGCUAGGUUAUUACCCGAUACUAGUGUUUCUUGGUAACUUUGGAUCAUUAGUUAUUAUGGUUUUCUCUAUCGUUAUUUGCCCCAAAACAAAGUUAUAAGGAGUAAGAAGGGUUAAAAAGUAAAAUCUUAAACCGGUAAUCAAUCUUAUUCAUUUUUAAUGGUUUUAUGAUUUUUUUUUAAAUGAAAAAUUAGGCUUCGGAUGCAAUUUUAAGUUAUAGAAUUCAAGUUGAUCGCGAGUGGCUAAGGAUCCCAAAAUCUUAAGAUCAUAUUACUUAAAAACUUUUUUUUUUUCUCUAAUUUCUAUACCCUAAGUUGGAUUGUGGAAAACCCCGAACUUGUAAGGGAACAUAUUCUAGAUUUGCCAAGACUAGACAAAAAUAUAAACCUUAUGAUCCUUAAAGACAAUAGAAAACUGGAAAUCUACAGGUUGGGCAAUGGUUAAGACUUGAUUUGAUUUCUAGGUGGAUUGUGGGGAAUAAGAGAUUGCACCGAACUUGGAUCAAGAUCUUCAAUUCUUCCAGAAUUUGCAAACUAUACAACAAGAUUCGCCCUCGAGUAUUUAUCGUUCUUGCUCAAUCUAAUAGUACUCACGGUAAGCUGGUACAUUUUUUGAGCCAAUGAGCUAGAAUAUACCAACGAAUUGAUUAGGAUUGCGAGGUUUGAAGAAAUUUCCCUUAAAGUUAUUAGAAUUUUUUCAAUGUUUGCCAUCAGUGCUCAACUAGUUGUAUAUUUAGCAUCUCAUGAGCAUGCCUAGAUUUUUUAGUGGAUGUAACGUCAAUUUCACUUGAGGCAACCACACGAUUCUUCUUAGUUAUCACUUGCCUUUGUAGAAGAACUUCUAUAGUUCUAUUUACUCCAUGUUAUAUUUUUUGGUUCUAGGCGUGUCAUCAAGGGUUCAAGAAUGGUUCUCACUUAAAAACUUUACAAAAACUCAUGGGCUACAAUGGAGCAUAACAGUUGAGAGGUGGAAUCAAAGCGUUUAUACUCAAGUUUGCACUAGCAGUUUUGAUAACAUUCAAUUUUGGAGCAACAGGGAAUGCGGUAGAAUUAGUAACAAGUCAACAUGGACUUUGAAAUGAAUACAGUCAGUUCUUCUCCAGACAUACCAACAAUCUACAAGGAUCUUCUCAUGCAAGUACCAACAACUACAAUCUUCAACACCUUCACAUUCCCGGGCUCUACUUCCAUCAUGGUCACCUUGGUGCACACCUCCUCCUCUAACUAUUUUUUUGAUUGGGAAUUUACUGUUUUGAAUUGAAUUUUCAAAUCCUUUUUCAACUAAAAAUUUUUAGCUUUGAAAAAUCCAUUUUUAGAUCUUUUCUAGACAAUAAAAUCCAGAUUUUAAUAAAUUUGCUACCAUUUUCCUUCUGGUAUACAUUUUCUUGUUUUUCUUGUUUUUUUUAAACAAUCAUGAAUAAACUUCAUGGUUCCAAAUAAUGAAACUCAUUGAACCAAUUCAUGCAAAAGUAAUUGGGACUUUGGUGGGGGGUUCGACAUUCUUGAUAUCUUCUUUGAUAUUGAUUCAAAUGAGGAGAUUGUUUGAUAUUUGAUUGAUUUUGAUUCCUCUCUAUGAUAUAUAUGAGAUUGUUUAUACCUAUUGUUGAGGUAACCUAGUUCUCAUUGAAGCGGUUAGCUGGCUACCCAGGUACACUCUCUAUAACCUACUUUCUAGAAUUCUAUGAAUAUUCAUGUUAUUAUGAGCCAUAUUCAUGUUUGAAUGAUGUCCUUGAUUGCCUUGACACUUGUUUGAUUAUUUCUAAUGAAAUGCAUCCUGAAUAAUAUACUAUUCAAAUUAAUUUUGAUUGUCUUAUGAUAACGCUUGAGAAGCAGUCCAAGUACACACCCUAACUCUCUUUUAUGAUUGUGAUUUGAUUUUUUAUUUAACAUGAUAAUAUUAAUAGAAUCUCGAAAUCAUUUUAGUCUAUCUAGGUACCUUCAAUUAAUUGAUUAAUUGCUACAUUUCCCUCAACUUUGCAAGCAGAGACCUCUUUAGGGUUUAGAGGGGUGCUACCUCUUUGAGGUACCUUCCCAAUAAGUAACCAAAUCUUCGGAUUUAGACUCAAGUUUUUCAAAGACACGUUUUUUCAAAACUAUGGAGUCACUUCUAUAAGGUUUUCUUUCUUGUUUUAUUUUUCCUUUUAAAAUAAAAUAAAAUAAGUGGUGACUUCGACUUUUCCAAAAAUAAUUUUUCACCAAUAAAAAUGAGUCUCACCAUUAAGUGGGGACGCAUGUGAAAAAUGCGGGUCCAUAAUAUCACAGUUAUGAGUUACUUCUUAUUUAGUCAAUUUAUCUUAUUGGAUUUUAUAGACAUGUUUAUGCUUUGAUUGGAUCUAGAGAAGCCCUAGAACUAGAUGUAUGCACCUUAUUCAAUCCAAGGUUAGGGAAUAGAGCAAUUUGGGAUUCCUAAUAGGUUUCACUUCAAUCAUCUUGGUGUGGACAAAAAGAUCCAUAAUGUAUCAUUAUUAAGAUAAAAGUAGCUCAUUUUAGUGUGGAAUUACUUCAACAUUAAGGAAGUAUACAAGAAGCCUAAGGUCCUUAGAGAACCAUUAGGCAAGAAGGUCCACAAAGCAUUGACCAUGGUAGCAUCAUUAGCUAUGAUAAUAAUAUUAUCAACAUAUAUAAGAAGAUAUAUAGUUUUACCAGUGGUGUUGAGGAUAGAUAUGGAGGUGUUGACAUGGGAAUCCUAAAAUCUCAAAGUGACAAGAAACUAUUAAGCUUGUGGUGCUAGGUACGUAGUGUCUUCUUGAGGCUAUAGAUAGCCUCACGAAGCUUGCACACAUGAAAUAGAUAAUCCAAAUCAAUAAAACUUGGUGGUUGAGCGAUGCAUAUGUCUUCUACAAGAUGGCCUUAAAGAAAGGCAAUGUUGGCAUCUAAUUAAUGUAGAGACCACCCACAAGUAAUAGUAAUACUAAGAACUAGAUGCAUGGUGGUGGGCUUGAAAAUUGGACAAAAUUUAUCAUCAUAGUCAACUUCCAAUCAUUAAUAAAACCCUUUUACAACCAAGCGAGCUUUAUACGUAUCAAUAGAACCAUUAGAAUGUCACCUAGUCCGAAAAGUCCACUUAUACAUAACAAAAUUGUGUGUGGGGAUGUAUAGAAGGAACUAAUUCCCAUGUUCUAUUCUGAACAGGGCAUCAUACUCCUCAAACAUGACCCGUCGCCAUUUUGGAUCCUUGAGGGCUUGGGUCAUGGUGGUUGGUUAGAGGUUUUCUGGCAUAGUAAACUAAGACUGAGAAAUCUAGUUUAUAUAUGAGUUUAUGUAGAUCAUCUUUGGUUCAAGUGUUUCUGUUUUGGGUAUGUGUUGACAAAUCGGAGGGUUGGCCACGUCCAUCAACUCCCCUUGUGUUUUCCAUGGGCACUUGGGUGGAUGCACUAUAAGGUUAGGGUAUGCGCUUUUCCUAAUAGCAAUUGCUUUUAGGAGAGUUGGUAGUGCUUGAGGUCCUACGUACAAGUGGUACUAGAGUCGAGGUCACGGGUUUAAACCAUAGGGAUGUCGUUGGGAGGAAGAUUGUUGGUAGAUCGGAGGGUUGGUCACGUCCAUCAACUCUCCUUAUGUUCGCUAUGGGCGUUUGGGCGAAUGCACCAUAAGGUUAGGGUAUGUGCUUUUCCUAACAACAAUUACUUUUAGGAGAGUUGGUAGUGCCUAAGGUCCUAUUGUAUGAAUGGUAGGUUGAGGUUUUUGGGUUAUGAGUUGGUAGGGAGGUAAUGUGAGGGUAUGAUGGAGGUGUUGGGUGUUGGAUUGGUUGUGGUGGGUUAAUAGGGUUGAGUUGUAGCAAUAGAAAGGGAAGUGGACAUGAGGUGGUGCAUCAAGUCAUCACAUAUGAGCAGUGGAAAGGGAAACAAUGUGGGUAAAGCAGAUGACAAAGACAUAGUUGUAAUGGAAAUAGUAGGAAAUGGAAUGGGUGACACCCAUGUAGAUACAGUGGUGCACUGAGUACGGGUAGAGAAGUUUGGAGAGAACAAGAGGGAAUGCACUGACUUCACAAAAUUUAUGUGAGGAGAGACAAAUAUUUUGGAGAUGAAAUGAUCUAAACACAAAUAGACACUUUGAGUAAGAGAGUAACCAUAAGAAAAUACACAGUUUCAAGCAACAAUCUAGUUUAUGAGUGAAAUAGGGCUAAAGUAAAGGAUACCAUAGGCAACUAAACACUCAAAGUGUUGAAUGGUUUGGGGAGGUGCUAAAGAGUUAUGUAUAAGGAGAGAAAAUAGUUAAUGUGGGAGUAAGCAUGGGAUUUAUAAAGAUAUAUAGUGGGAGAAAACACAUGAGACCAAUAUUGAAGCGAAAGUGAAACAUGAGAAAGUAAUGAGUGCUUCAUUUGAUAAUGAAUUAGUGACAACACUCAAAAUACCCAUUACAUCUUAAUGUGGGGAGAUGUCGUGGGAGAUACCAUGUUGAGCUAGACAAGAGGCAAUGUCCUUGAUAUUCAACACCAUUAUCAUAAUAUAAUGUAAUUAUUUUGUGAUCGAAAUGUUUUUUCAUAGUGGCCUUGAAUCAUAUAACACAUCAUCAACAUUAGAUUUUUGCUUAAGUGGGUAGAGCCAUAUGUAUUUUAUGUAGUGAUCAACAAAUAUUACAAAAUAUUUGAAGUUAUCAUGUGAUAGUAUCAAAGGGGUCCAAACAGCAUAAAAUAUAAUUUCUAGAGGUUGAUAAAAAAUAAGAAAAGAUAUAGAAAAUGGUAAUAUGUGACUUUAUUGCAUUGAUAAGUGUUAAAAAUAAAGUUAGAAAACUCUAAGAAUGAUAAUUCUAAAUUGGUAAUGAAGAUUAUAUGACAUUCUAAAUUGCAAUUAGAGAUUAUAUGUUUCAAAAUUAGGAAAGUGACAUGACCUAGCCUAUGAUGCCACUUGAACCAAGUGGUUUUUUAACACUAGAAAAUGCAAUUAACGGAGAUAACCUAAUAGUGGAAUUGACCAACCAUUCAUAUACUUUGUCCAUUGUUUGGCAAAUGAAAACGAUUUUCCCCAUGUGAAAACCCUUCAUAAGAAAAAAAAAAUGAUAAGAAUUCAAUAGAGUUAUUAUUAGUAUGAAAAAAUUGAGAAAGUGAAAUUAGAUUCUAUCAUGUUUGGAACAUAAAAGACAUUAUUUAAAGUAAAGAUGAUAGUAUGAGAGGUUAAAACUGUGGAACUAGUAUGGGUAAUGGGAAGACCUAUGUCUUCACCAAUUAAGAGGUCAUUAGAACUAGUGUAUGAGGGGGUGAUAAAAGAGAUGCCCUAGAUUGAUAGUAAUAUGGUGAGAAACAUCAUUAUCAACCGGUCAUGAUAGAGGUGUAGUGGUGGUAAUGACAUUAGCAUGUGGAUGCCAAGGUGCCAAGGGAGUGGGAGUCAAGAUUGAGGAAGAAAGAGUUGGUUGUAUUGUAGUGGACUUAAAAAGAGGCCUCGGUUUACCUUAUGGUCGUGAUCGUGCCACACAAUUGGCAAUGUCCAAGAUAGGGUUAGGGUAAAGGGUGGUCGCCUUAUUGAAGUGCUAUUGGCAAUUGUGAGGUAACCGAAAGAUGGUGAUAAGCAUGUUAUUAGCUAUGGAAGGAUGCCAUCUCAUGGUGUUUUGGUUGACUAGAUUUGUAGUGAUAAAAAAAGAAAACAACUAAGGUAAUAGAUCCUGCAAAGAAGUUUCAAAAUUCAAUAAAUUUCCAUGUAGUUUCGUAGACAUGACCAGAGUUUCACCGACUUGCAUAGACCAAGCAAGUUCUUUGUGUUUAUUAUCGAGACCAUCAAGAAUUUUCUCAGCAAGAUUUUCUACACCUAUUGGCACUCAAAAGAUAGCUAGUUCAUCAACAUGAGCUUUAACAAAUUAAAGAAAUUUAGUAACAAUUUGAGAACCCUUAUCGCAACCAUAAGAUGACUUUUCACUUGUUUAAAACAACUAUAAGAUGGUGUAGCAUAUGUAUCGAUACGAAUGGUCCAUACCCCCUGAGAGGUGGUAUAUUUAACAAUAAAUGACAUAAUAGUUAAAGAGAGAGUUUGAGUUGAUGAUAGCAUUGAGAAUCAAUUGAUCCUAAUAAAUCCAAAGAGAGAAGGUUGGGUUUGGUGAGGUGACACCAUUGACAAUGAUGCUGGUAGGUGGGUAAGGCUUGGUGUUGUCCAUUUAGCCAAGUAGAUCAUGGCCAACGAAGAAAGAUUGAAAUUGUAUUUUCCAUGAGAGAUGAUUUGUGGAUGUGAGUUUAAGGAGAAGUUGAGCGACAACAUUAAUACUGAUAAGAGUGGAGUGAGGUGUAUUGAUAUUUUGGAUGAUGAUGAUAUUGGUUUCAUCAUUGGCCAUGGAUGUUGACGUUAGGGUUUGUAAGGUAUAAAGAAAUUGGCAAAUGGGCAAAAAGAUGAUUGAUAGGAAGAAUAGUGUGAUUAAUUAGAAUGACUUUGAAAAUAGUAGUAGCUAGUAUGGUCAACAACUACUUCGUGAUUCAGAGGCUUGGUAGCUUAGUGUUCUGAUACCAUAUAUUGACAGAAAACAAUUGAGAAAAUAUGACAUACCCUUCUCAUUAAUUAAUGAUGGAUAUUUAUAUACAAAUAACAUUUGAGGGUAUGAACCUUGACUAGCUAAAAUUAAAAGAAUAAGUUCAUUUUCUACUCUAAUUCAAGCUCUAUCUUAUACUCUAAUCCAUAAUUAAGUUAAAUUAAUAAUAGAUAAAUACUAAUAUUUAAAUUAAGGAUAAACAUUAUCUUUCACUAACAUUUCAAAUAUACAAAAUUUACUGAAACCAAAAUUUUAAAUUGAAUAAGAAAUAGUGCCAAAUUCACUUUUUGAAUUUACACUUUGAAUUCCAACAUUAUUAAUUGUUUUUAACUUUAAUAAUUUAUAAUAUUAUUCAAGUAUAUGUUUGAAAUACUGAAAUAGAAAAUAUGAAUAUAAAUCUAUUUUAUUUUUUCAUUCAUUCUUACAUUUAAAUUACUCAUUAGAAAUAAAAUGUAAGAAAAUAAAAUCAGUCUUAACAUGGAAGUCAAAAUUCAUCUUUAUCAUAAUUUUGAUUCCUAUGACUCAAUGAGAGUAUGAUGACAUAAUAUUCUAACUAAAUAUAGAAAUAUAUAUAAUAAAUAAGAUAAUAUUAAAGAUUCAAAUCAUAGAAUUUCUCAAUUCUGACACAACAUAGGAUUUUGCUAUAUCUAGACUAAUACCAAUCCAAUUGACAAAUUAAUUAGCUAACUCAUUUGAUGAAUAGUAAUCAUUUCAUUUCUUAAAAUAUCCCAAACAGUAGGCUAGAGUAAGGAAUGGGCACAUAAGAUUUAUACUACUAGAAACAAGAGUAAUGGUACAAUUUAUAAUACCAAAACAAGUAGAUAAUAAGUAAAAUCAUAUGAAAAGAAAUCUGUAUAGGACUUUGGGGGCAUGGUCUAGAUAUAUAAAGGCACUUGCUCCCAUUUGAAAAAAUUAUGGAAAGAUAUAAAGUCUUACCAAUAAGCUAGAUAUUUGAUUUUAUCCCUGAAAUAAAUUUAUUAUUAUUUUUUGACUUAUAUAAAGAGCAAUUAUAUAUACUUUUUUUUUCUUAAUUUUAAAUAAAAUUUAAUACUAAAUAAUGUUUAAUAAGGUUAAGUAUUAAAUUUUUUGUUUUUGUAAUUUAUUAUUUCUAUUAAGCAUUAAAAGGUAGGAAAAACCAAUAUAUUAUUUUUUUCUAUUUAAAAAAAGUCAAAUAUUUUUAUUUUCACUCUACCAAAAAUUUAUAAUAAGUAAUAAAAAAAAUAGAAACACAAAUAAUCUAAAGUCUGAGAGUAAAUUACUUUCAACAAAAAGUUAAAAAAACAAAUACCCUCUUAGUUUGGUAUCAUGAUUUACCUUUAUUUAUUUAUUUUAAUUCUUAGGAAGUUUUGAUAGAUUUUUUUUUACCCUCAAUUUAUAAGAAAAUACUUUUUACCAAAUUAUUUAAAGUGUAUGACAAUGUUUUUACUUGAAGUAUUUUUUAAAGAAUCACUAUGAAGUGGUUUUUCAAAAUACAUUAUAAGUGAUUUUUCAAUACUACAAAUGUUAUAAAAUAUGAGAUUCCGUACCACUAUGGUAACUUGAAGAUGAUCAUCUAUAAAUAUCUUUUAUAACUUUCUAUAAAAGGGAGAGAUUCCUAAUGAAAUUCAAGAGAGUUUUUUCAUGCAUUCUAUUCUCUUCCUACAUUCUAAUUUCUCUUUCUUGUUUUCUUCCCCUUUCACUUUAUAAUUUUACAACACAUUAUCAGCACGACUAGUCUCUACAAAAGAAAUAGAAAGAUUUUUCUCUAUUAAGAGAAAUAAGAAAGACGUUAUUCUUUCAGAGAAAUAGAAAGACUCUUCUCUUUUCUUUCUCGUAAAAAGGUAUGUAAUAAACUUGUAUCAUGAUUUUCUAUUUUAUUAUUCUUCGAUUUCUAUUUUCAUUUAUUUUAUUUGAAUACAUAAAUAUUUGUAAUCCUUAUAACCAAAAGUUAUGGGUAAAUUAUAAAUUAUGGGGUAAAUUCAUAACCAGAAGUUAAGAAAAAUAUGUGCAAUUCCUAUAACCAGAAGUUAUGGAAAAAAAAUUACAAAUAUAUGACCAGAAGUUAUACAUAUGAUCCCUAAUUAUUUAUUUUUAAUUAUACGGUAUAACUGGAUGUUAUACCAAACAAUAUUAUAAAGCUAGAAACUAUAAAAUAAAUAAAUAAAUGUUCAUAGCGUGAAGCUAUGUACAAAUUUAUAUAAUGAAAGUUCAUACCUCGAAGCUAUGAAUAUAUAUAUAUAUAUAUAUAUAUAUAUAUAUAUAUAUAUAUAUAUAUAUAUAUAUAUAUAUAUAUUAAAUUUUCAUUCUUAUUUCAUAUUUAUACAUUUUUACCAUAUUUAUAAUUGAUAAAUUUUAGGUCAUUAUAUUUUUAGAUAUUGUUUACUUGAAAUAUUGUUAAAGCAUUUUAUUAAUAGUUUAUUAUAAUAAUUGAAAUAUUUCUCUGAUUAAUAUUAUAUAUAGCUUUCAGAUAAUAUCAAACCUUACAAAGCUUGAAUUUGUUACGCUCGAUAUUUUGGGUAAGAACUACUUAUCUUGGGUUCUAGAUGUUGAAAUUCAUCUAGAUGUGAUGAAUCUUGGAAAUACCAUUAAAGAAGGAAAUGACGCAUCCCUACAAGAUCGUGCCAAAGCUUUGAUAAUCCUUCGCCAUCACAUUGAUGAAGGAUUAAAAAGUGAAUGAAUACCUUACGGUUAAAGAUCCUUUCAUCAUUUGGAAUAAUCUAAGGGAACGAUAUGACUACCAAAAGACCGUAAUCCUUCCAAAGACACGUUAUGAUUGGAUGCACUUGAUAUUACAAGAUUUCAAGUCUGUUAGUGACUACAACUUGGCCCUAUUCAAAAUUAGUUCUCAAUUAAAAUUGUGUGGAGAAAAGGUCACUGAAGAAGAUAUGCUUGAAAAAACAUGCACGACUUUUCAUGCCUCGAAUGUGCUCUUGCAACAGCAAUAUCGAGAGCGUCGUUUCACUAAAUAUUCAUAAUUGAUCUCAUGUCUUCUUGUGGCUAAACAAAAUAAUGAGCUAUUAUUGAAAAACCAUCAAUCUCGUCCUACUAGGUCUAUGUCAUUGCCUGAAGCCAAUGCCACAUCUAUUCAAAUCCUUAGAGAUGGACAAGGACAUGGAUAUGGACGAGGUCGAGGACGUGGUCGAGGUCAAGGUCGUGGCAAACACAAUUCUUCUCAUCAUAGUGGUUCUCAAAGUAAAAAAGAACAACUCAAACCACCAGAAGUGGAAUAAUUCAAAGGCAUAACCUGAAAAGGGGAUAGAACCACAAAGUAAACAUGUUUGUGAGAAUAAGUGUCAUAGAUGUGGCAUGAAAGGACAUUGGUCACGUACUUGUCGUACUCCAAAACAUUUGGUUGACCUUUACCAAGCAUCAAUAAAAGGAAAGUAAGUUGAAAUGAACUUCAUUGAUACUGAUGGCCAAAUGGAUCUAACCCAUUUAGAUGUUUCGGAUUUCUUUGAGAAUCCUAAUGGGAAAUUGACCAUCUAAUUGGUGAUGGAAAUGUUUGUUAUGAUUAAACGUUAUGUUUUUAUUUAAUUCUUUGCAAAUAGGUUUAUUUUGUUAUCAUAUUUGAACACAUUGUUUAUUGUUCAUCUUUUAUAGUUUAUUUCACAUUUUAUUAUUUAUCAUUUAAAUUCUUUUCUUUAUUUAUACUUGAAGAUACAUGGAUCUGUCUCAUACCUUGAUCCAUCACUACAAUUAGUUUGAUUAUUGAAAUGCUUCCUAGUUAUUUCAUGUAUAAAUUGUUCCACACUUACAAAAUCAAAUGUGUGAGAUACUUACGAAAUAUAUAACUUUAAAUUAUCUUUUUCAUAUUUGUUUUAUUGUGUAAUAUAUGCUCUCAUUGCUUUUACACAACUUAUUAAGUUAAGUUAUCAUCGAUGACUAAUAUUUUUCCAUUGAUUUUAACUUUUUCUCUAUGAUAAUAUUUAUUCAACUCUAUAAAGACGAAGUUUUUAUGAUAAUGUUUUAUGACUUGUUACUUUGAUGAAACUCUUGUCUCAUUAAUUACACAACAUUGAUGACAAACAAUGUUAAUAAAACAAUCAAAUUCUUAGGUAUUUCAUAAGAUAACCAAAAAAACCUUAUUUUUCACCCAUAACAAAUUUAAAAGAAAAAACUCAAAUUUCUAAAUAUAAAUUUAACAAAACUUAUAAUAAAAUAAUAAAGAAUAUUUAUGUAAAAAAAAGUUAAUUUUCAAGUUUGAAAUUAAAUUUAUAAAUUUAGGAUCAUCUUAUCCCUUUAAAUCAAAUUAUUAUUAUUAUUAUUAUUAAUUUUUUUGUGUGUGUAUGAAGGGGGAGAAAAAAAAAACAGAAGGGAUAGUGAUCAUCUCCACCACAUACAUAUAUAUAAGAUAUUUGAUUAACAUGAAUAAGACAAUUCCUAGAAAUUAGGAAAAUAAUAUCAUUUUUUUUAUAUAAAAAUAUUUUUUUAUCAAUAUUUGUUUUCAAAUUUUGUACAUAUUUCAUACAAAAGGAAAGAUAAAAACCGAAGUAAUAAGAUGUUUGAGAGGUCUAGGUUGAUAGUUUUAAUAUAUCCACUAUGAUUCCAAGAGAUGAUUGGAAAAAUAGAGGGAAGUUAAAAACCCAAAAACAAAUUAAAAAAUAAUUAAUGUUAAAGAAAAAAAUACACAAAAGAUAUUUAUGUCCAAGUAAUAUUAUAUUCCAAAAAGGGUGAAGAUUAUUUUUGAGAAUUGAGAAUUAUCUUUUUUUUUUUUAUUAAUUAAAUAUUUAUAUUUUAAAUUUAAUUAAAUUUUUUCCUCUUAAUGUGAUAUAUCUUUCAAGACAAAGAUACAAUAAUAAGAAGUUAAUUAAAUUGAAAGUUCCACUUUAUGAAUUGAGAUUCCCAUGAAGGAAAUACCCCAACCCUCCCUCUUUAAGGAUUCUGUUAAAAAAAAAAUGUUCUUUUUAAAAAAUAUUAUUAAAAUAUAACUAUCAAAAAAAUAAAAAUAAUAUAAUACUACACUUUUUAUCAUUUUUUUUUUUAAAAUUUUAUAUUAAACCCAUCUUUUGAAAAGAUGAAUUCACUUUAUAUUAAACUCGUCUUUUAAAAGACGAGUUCACUUUUUGUACUGAAUUCGUUUGUUUUAAGUGUCUUUUCAAAAAAUGAAUUUACUUUUAUAUUGAACUUAUUUUUUCUUAAAAUUUUACUAGAAAUUGAAAAUACUAUAAUUUUAGAAUUAUCUUUCAUAUUACAAUUUUUUUUUUAAAUGUUUUUUGAAAAUACACUACGAAACCCUAUUUAUAUUGUUGUUGACCAUCGCAAUCAACAAAUUCUAUCCAUUUCAGUUUUUAAAAAACAAUUAUUCAAUUAUAUUAUUAAAUAUGUUCUUGGAAAAAAAUAAAAUAUAUAAAUUCAUUGCCUCAUCCUCUUAUUUCCAAACCCUAUUUAUAUUGUUGUUGACCAUCGCAAUCAACAAAUUCUAUCCAUUUCAGUUUUUAAAAAACAAUUAUUCAAUUAUAUUAUUAAAUAUGUUCUUGGAAAAAAAUAAAAUAUAUAAAUUCAUUGCCUCAUCCUCUUAUUUCCAAAACUAGUUUUGAAAAUUCUUUAAAAAAAUCAGAACCAACCACUGCAAUUAAUAAAUAUUUCCUAAACCAAAUUAAAAUUUAAAAGUCCUUAACUAGCAAAUUCUGACCACUAAUGAUCUAGCAGUUAACCUAUCAUACACCCAUUCCAUUAUCAUCCAUUCCUAUUUACAGUAGGAAGAGAUUCCCAUCAAAGUCAAGGCCAGUGAUGCAUCAUGGAUCAAAGGAUUAGCCAAAUCAUUUGCCAUCUUUAUAGGCAAUAUUAUUUCUUUGAUUAAGUCGAGUCAACCAACAGCCGACCCGUCAUGGUAGAAAUGUAGAGCCUGUGGGCGCUGGCAGAAACCAUUAUAGACCUUUCCAAGCCGUCUCCAAGUUGUAUGAACUUUAUGUCACUGUGUUUGUCCUAAUCUACUGCAAAUACUUUACUUAACUAGUGGGCCACUAGUAAGACAAAAUAUUGUCACUAGCACACACAAUAAUUGAGACCAACCUCGUGAGAAAUGACUAGUCUGUUUGUCUUUUAAGAUACCAGUGGAUGAAAAUUAAUUUUUUUUUUUGAAAAGUUUUUUCAGUUUUUCUUUUGGACAAAAUUUAAUGAUUUGUCAUGUAAAUUGUAUAAAUUUAAUUACAUAUAUUUACUUAUGGUAUGAAUUUCAGAUCAAAAUGUGUAAUUUUACUUGCAUUUAUUUUAUUCAAAAUUAUUUGCUUUUAUAUUUUGGAUUGUUGGUAGGCCCAACAAUGCAUAAGUACAUGCAGUAAACUCUUAAUGUGUAAUGACUCAUUGAGAAAUUUUAUUUCCCUGUCAAACAUUGGAUGAAAUGAUUUGUUGAUGUUUGAUUUUAUAAAUAUCAAUGUAAUAAACUAUUUCAAGCCCAAUCUCAAUUGUUUUUUCAAAUUGACCUAAUCAAAAUGAGAUUAACUUAAUUGAUAUAUGCACCUACUAAUUUAAUAUAAAUCCAAAAUAUUUUAUUGAAUCACGUGAUGAAGAGAUUCAACUUAUCUCCUCCCUAAACAAAAUUAUUAAAAAAAAUUGAUAACUUAUUGAUCUUUCUUCUUAGAUUUAUCAUUUUUUCAUUUCCUGGUUUAGAAUGGGAUAGAGAUGGACAUAUAUCACCUUAAUAGUUAGUGAAACAAUGAAUGACCGGGGAAUUAAUGUUAUUUUAUUUAAAUGAUUGAUUCUAAUAUGGGUGUGUGAUGUUGGAAAAUAUAAAAGAUUUUAUCUCUCCUAUUAAAAACAAAUUAAUUUUAUGAACAAAAUGAUGCACAUAUUCCAUAACAAUGACUAUCCAAGAAUUAUGCUCUUUUCUAAGAUGCAAAAUGUUUUGGUUUUCUCAAGUUCAAACAUUUUUUUCCCUUAGUGAUUUAGAGUUCGUUUGAGAAUGAUUUAAGAAAACGAUUUUAACUUAAAAAAAAAAAAAUUUAAAAAAUAUUUGACAAAAAAUAUAAUUUUUCUUUUAAAUUUGAAAAAUCACUUAUAAUAUUUUUCAAUGCUCUAUUUUCUGUGGGCAUGGCAGAGGAGUCAUAUUAUAUGGCUCAUUCCUCCUACCUUUCCUUCUCUUUUAUAUUGGAAUUGACUGCAUUUACAAAUGAUAUAUGGUAAGUGGUAACUCAUUGUCCCAUUCAAAGCUCUUUCCUUAUAAAACUAGUGUUGAAGAAGAAAGGCUUCACAAGGAAACAUCCAAGAGGCCUGAAAACAUGACUAAGAAGAGCUGGUUCAGGUACUUCCAGUAUGAUGAAAGGAAGGAGACCCUGGCGGAUGCGCGCAACGUUCUGUUAGUUGUGGCGGGGCUGAUCGCGGCCGUCACCUUUCAGGCGGGUGUCACCCCUCCUGGAGGAGUAUGGCAGGAUGAUAAAGAUGGGCAUAGGCCAGGAAGGGCGAUAUAUUCUUAUCAAACAAAAGAAUUCUAUGUUUUCUUGAUCUCAAACACAGUGGCUUUCUCCACAUCCAUUCUUCUUCUUAUAUCUCUAACACAUAAAUUUCCUUUCCACUUUGAAGUAAUUCUUGCCACAACAUCAAUGGUUGUGACUUAUGCUUCUUCUGUAUUCGCCGUUACCCCGGAUGAAUUGGUCAAGUUUCGAUACAUCUUGCUUGCUGCCGCUGCACCUUUCAUAAUAAGAUUCCUACUGCAGGUGUGGGCCAGGUUGACAAUGGAGGU
rnacentral:lncRNA from 1 species